UCUCCGGUUGGGAUUGGAGCGUGCGGAGUCGCCUUGCUGCCGCCAUGGUUGAAUUGUUUCGUCUCUACGAUCUGAUCUGAGGUUUGACCCGACCCGAGUAGAUCUGGUCCAGGGGGGGGAGAGUCUGAUGAGGCACGUGCGAGUUUUCUGUUUACAUGUUUUAGGCACGUGUGGUUGGAUCAGAAAAAACAUGAAGAUUACAAAGGUGACACCCGAGAGGAGGACCCAUAUGGAUAUCAAUGGGGAGACAUGUUUUUGAUGGUCGUGGCUACCAGGGAGAGCCACGGCUAGGGCAAGGAGGAUUCAUGCGGCUAUGUCGUUGAAGGCUGCAGCCGCUAACGCUGUUUGGCCAACGCUUGUGGUUAAGAGCUUGAGCUCGGCUAAGAUACGGGCAAGGACUGGGAAAGCUGUGAUGGAAAGAGCAACUCCAAUAAAGAGCAGGAACUGCCAGUACCCAGCCGAGCCAUGAUCCUUCUCCACGGCUGUACGGAGGAAUAGAGGUAUUGAGUUCGAUGUCAUCUUCAUAUGAAGAUUUAUCAUGACUGUUUCUAAUUGCUAUUGUAGUUCAUGAAUUGUCCACAAGAGGAUUUUUAAUUCCCUCUUGGCUUUGUAGCCCUUGCAUUUGAGUGUAAUGAAAGUUUGUGUUUAAAAAAAAAACACACACAAAAGAGAGUCGUGCGUUGUUUGUAAUUCGAACAUGGCUCUCACU